GUGUCUGGUCCGGUGCAUGAAGGAUAUAAUGUUGUGCUAACAGAAUCUACGUAUCUUCAUCAUGUGAUUUGAUGUUGGUGAGGGAAUCUUGCCUUACCUCCUCUCAGGCGUGAAAGCAAACGCGUUGUUUAGUAUUUACAAGGAAGGAAUCUUUUGCGGAAGGCCCCACUUGAUACAAGCUGGUUUGACGUGAUCAAGACCUCACCAAUUCCGAAUAUUCAGACGAGAGAACAUGCAAGAACAAGUGGUUAAAACAUUUUCUGCUGUGCCAGCAUCUGCGAAACAGUGAAAACUCUUGAUCGAGCAAGGCGCGGGCGCCGCAUCACGAUCCAAUCGGAAGGGGGGUGGCGGGAAGGGUAGUGUCGAACCGGUAAGAGACUGUGCUGCUGCUGCGCAUAGUGUCCUUUCGCGUAAAUCUCGACAUCUGCGUGACUUUGACACCUGCAGGUCCUUUGGACCUUCCACGCUUUUUCUGAGGGAGUACAUUUAAAAAUAUUAUCUUUGAUGUGAGCUUUUACGCAUAUAUUCGUCGCCUUUAUAUUGCUAAUGAUAGGGACUUUGAGAAACAAAAAUGUCAAUGUUAGGUACGUAAAUGCAAGAAUCCAACGGUCGAUAAAUAUAGUUAAAGUUAAAGGGUUUUCUCAGAAAUAUCUCCCGAACGCAUUUCCUAUAUUCUCCGCCACUUCCCCCUCUCGCUCUCUCUCUCUCUCUCUCUCUCUCUUUCUCUCUCUCUCUCGGAAUCAGCAUCGGCGCAAGCUGCGACGGGGCUUUGACGGUUCGGCGGUCCGAUUCCGACAUCUCGUGGCGACGGCAUUCGAGGUGGGGAGCUUCGUUUCCUCUGCGGGCUCCGGUGGAGCCUCAAGUUUUGGACACCUGGAGACGAAUUCGUCGGAGAAUGCCUUUUUGUUCCCCGUAGGAUCUCGGUUUCUUGCAUCUCUCGGAAGCUGCUGUCAAUUUCUAGUGCAGAGAAAGUUCGAAUCUCUACGGUCUAUGGCAGGGAUUUCUUGAAGUUUAGCUUUCCGCAGCUGCAUUGAUGGAUCCUUGGACCAAUAUCGAUGGAUAUGAGGAGCCAAGGUUGUCCUCUUUGAAUCAGAUGGACAUUAUAGCCUCUUAAAGCACAAUCUGGAAAUUGUUCAUUGCAUUCUUUUACUAUUACCAAUGGGUCACUCUAUGCUUUUCAUAGCACUUCCUUUUAUUUACCUCAUGUUAUACCUUCCACCACUUACCACUGCUGACUUAAGUUCUGAUGAGGAAGCACUCCUGGCCUUUGCUGCCUCAGUCCCUCAUGGCCGGAAACUGAACUGGAGUUCCCAGAACCCCAUAUGUUCAUCUUGGGUUGGAGUCACUUGCACACCUGAUAAGACCCGUGUCCAUACUCUCCGGCUGCCAGCGGUUGGCCUUUUUGGCUCGAUUCCUUCUGAUACACUUGGGAAACUUGAUGCCCUUGAAGUCUUAAGUCUUCGGUCCAACCGCCUUAUUCUAAAUCUUGCUCCAGAUGUCCCAUCAAUUCCUUCUUUGCAUUCUUUGUACCUUCAACAUAAUAAUUUAUCUGGAAUUGUACCUGAUUUGCUCUCUUCCAACCUAACAUUUCUUGAUCUCUCCUAUAAUUUGUUCGUCGGUGAAAUUCCAUUGACAGUCCAAAACCUUACUCUUCUUACCGCAUUGUUUCUCCAGAACAAUUCUCUUUCUGGACCCAUCCCUAACCUUCAACUGCGCAAGCUUAGACGUCUGAAUCUGAGUUAUAACAACCUCAGUGGCCCCAUACCAAUUUCACUUCAAAAGUUCCCAGUGGAGUCUUUCUUGGGUAACCCUUUCCUCUGUGGGACUCCUUUAGCCCAAUGCUUUGGAGUUCCUCCCUCCUCUCCACCCUUCCCAGCAGAAGCCCCUACAAAACCCAAAAGAAGCUUUUGGAAAAAAAUAAGUACGGGAGUCAUCAUUGCAAUUGCUGCUGGUGGAUCAGCUCUUCUGCUUCUACUCAUUGUUUUAAUUUUGGUAUGCUUUUCCAAGAGGAAACGUAGGCAAGGCAGUGGUGAAUCAAAAGGCAAGGGUUCUCUUGGUGGAAGAAGCGAGAAACCUAAGGAGGAGUACAGCAGUAGUGUUCAAGAGGCCGAGAAGAAUAAAUUGGUUUUCUUUGAGGGAUGUUCUUAUAAUUUUGAUUUGGAAGAUUUGUUAAGAGCUUCUGCUGAAGUUCUUGGGAAGGGAAGUCAUGGGACCACAUAUAAAGCUGUUCUAGAAGAUGGUACAACAGUUGUAGUGAAGAGGUUGAAGGAAGUAAUCAUCGGAAAGAGAGAGUUUGAACAGCAGAUGGAAAUGAUAGGAAGUGUCAGGCCACACCCCAAUGUAUUGCCACUUAGAGCUUAUUACUACUCCAAGGAUGAGAAGCUUCUAAUAUAUGAUUAUUUCCCUUCUGGCAAUUUAUCCUCCCUCUUGCAUGGGAAUAAGGGGGGAGCUGGAAAAACUCCCUUGGACUGGGAGUCGAGGAUAAAGGUUUCUCUUGGAGCAGCACGUGGCAUCGGUUGCAUUCACAUUGAUGGCAGUGGAAAGUUCAUUCAUGGAGAUAUUAAAUCCAAUAACAUACUCCUGACUCAGGAACUUGAUGCUUGUGUCUGUGAUUAUGGCCUUGCACCACUCAUGAACUCUGCAGCAACCCCAUCCAGAAUUGUAGUGGGCUACCGUGCACCCGAAGUCAUCGAGACUAGAAAAUAUACCCAGAAAUCUGAUGUCUACAGCUUUGGUGUCUUGCUACUUGAGAUGCUCACGGGAAAAGCUCCACUUCAGUCUCCAGGACGUGAUGAUGUUGCUGAUCUACCAAGAUGGGUCCAAUCUGUGGUUCGAGAAGAGUGGACUGCUGAAGUUUUUGAUGUAGAGUUGAUGAGGUAUCCGCACGUCGAGGAAGAAAUGGUUCAGAUGCUUCAGAUUGCGAUGGCAUGUGUUUCAAAAGCUCCAGAUCAACGACCGAAAAUGGAGGAGGUGAUCAGAAUGAUCGAGGACAUUCAGCACUCCGACUCGGAGAACAGACCAUCCUCCGAGAAGCCAAGAUGAUAGUGUGUCCAAACGCCACAAGCAGGCACAUGAAGCACAAUGCAGCCCAUUUAUACGUUAGGAACCUCUCCUUAUGCAGUUGAUCCUCUUAUCUCACCAAUACAAGGCAUUUGCAUGAACCAGCUAUAGUUGGUCAACGCCUGGUCAAAGUCUGAGUUAGUAUUUGAGGUUAGUCGAAAACUUAGUAUUUAAGUA